ACGGGUGCGUAACGCGUAUGCAACCUACCUUAAUCUGGGGGAUAGCCCGGAGAAAUCCGGAUUAAUACCGCAUAAAAUCACAGGAUGGCAUUAUCCAAUGAUCAAACAUUUAUGGGAUUGAGAUGGGCAUGCGUGUCAUUAGCUAGUUGGCGGGGUAACGGCCCACCAAGGCGACGAUGACUAGGGGAUCUGAGAGGAUGGCCCCCCACACUGGUACUGAGACACGGACCAAACUCCUACGGGAGGCAGCAGUAAGGAAUAUUGGUCAAUGGAGGCAACUCUGAACCAGCCAUGCCGCGUGCAGGAAGACUGCCCUAUGGGUUGUAAACUGCUUUUAUCCGGGAAUAAACCACAUUACGUGUAAUGUGCUGAAUGUACCGGAAGAAUAAGGAUCGGCUAACUCCGUGCCAGCAGCCGCGGUAAUACGGAGGAUCCAAGCGUUAUCCGGAUUUAUUGGGUUUAAAGGGUGCGUAGGCGGCCUGUUAAGUCAGGGGUGAAAGACGGUAGCUCAACUAUCGCAGUGCCCUUGAUACUGAUGGGCUUGAAUGGACUAGAGGUAGGCGGAAUGAGACAAGUAGCGGUGAAAUG
rnacentral:rRNA from 1 species